AUGAUGGACACUUGAGUAUUUCAGUCUGGUCUGCUGUAUCUUCUUUGUAAAGUGAUGGUAAAAUGGAGUAUAGAAAUGCCCACUGUUCACAGAGCUUUCCUCGUCGAAGGUGAUGGAGUAUUCUCUUUGACAAGGACUUAGAACACUGCUUUAAUAGGCACGUGGUAAGAUUUCCCUUGCCUGCCCUCCAGAAGUUGGGUGAUCAUGUGACUUCCUUUGGCAGUGAAAUGUGAGCGGAAUGCCACGUGUUACAAGCAUAAAGCACAACUUGUGGCAUUUCUUUUUCCUCCCGUAGUGAUUAUGGAAGUUCAGAGAUGGGGCCUCCCUCAACCUGAACCUUGAGGAUGACAUGGAGCAAAGCUCCCCAGCCAACCUGUAAUGAACACGUAGCAUGAACAAGAAAUAAACUCCAGAGUUUUAAGCCA